rnacentral:rRNA from 1 species
CCUACGGGUGGCUGCAGUGGGGAAUAUUGGACAAUGGGGGCAACCCUGAUCCAGCCAUGCCGCGUGUGUGAAGAAGGCCCUCGGGUUGUAAAGCACUUUCAGUGAGGAAGAACGCCUGGUGGUUAAUACCCAUCAGGAAAGACAUCACUCACAGAAGAAGCACCGGCUAACUCCGUGCCAGCAGCCGCGGUAAUACGGAGGGUGCGAGCGUUAAUCGGAAUUACUGGGCGUAAAGCGCGCGUAGGUGGCUUGAUAAGCCGGUUGUGAAAGCCCCGGGCUCAACCUGGGAACGGCAUCCGGAACUGUCAAGCUAGAGUGCAGGAGAGGAAGGUAGAAUUCCUGGUGUAGCGGUGAAAUGCGUAGAGAUCGGGAGGAAUACCAGUGGCGAAGGCGGCCUUCUGGACUGACACUGACACUGAGGUGCGAAAGCGUGGGUAGCAAACAGGAUUAGAUACCCCUGUAGUC